rnacentral:rRNA from 1 species
UACGUAGGGGGCGAGCGUUGUCCGGAAUUAUUGGGCGUAAAGAGCUCGUAGGCGGUUUGUCGCGUCUGCUGUGAAAACCCGAGGCUCAACCUCGGGCCUGCAGUGGGUACGGGCAGACUAGAGUGCGGUAGGGGAGAUUGGAAUUCCGGGUGUAGCGGUGGAAUGCGUAGAGAUCCGGAAGAACACCGGAGGCGAAGGCGGCUUGCUGGGCGUGAUCUGACGCUGAGGCGCGAAAGCGUGGGGAGCGAACAGG